rnacentral:snRNA from 1 species
AUGAUUCCUGGAGCACAGAUACUAAAACUGAAACAAUACAGAGAUCAGAUUGGUCCCUGCACAAGGAUAACAUUCAAAUUCGUGAACUAUUCCAUAUUUUU